AGAGUUUGAUCCUGGCUCAGAUUGAACGCUGGCGGCAUGCUUUACACAUGCAAGUCGAACGGCAGCAUAGGUGCUUGCACCUGAUGGCGAGUGGCGGACGGGUGAGUAAUGCAUCGGGACGUGUCCGGAAGAGGGGGAUAACUGUUCGAAAGAACUGCUAAUACCGCAUAAUAUCCGAGGAAGAAAGCUGGGGACCUUGGGGCCUGGCGCUUACGGGGCGACCGAUGUCUGAUUAGCUAGUUGGUGGGGUAAAAGCCUACCAAGGCGACGAUCAGUAGCUGGUCUGAGAGGACGACCAGCCACACUGGGACUGAGAAACGGCCCAGACUCCUACGGGAGGCAGCAGUGGGGAAUUUUGGACAAUGGGGGCAACCCUGAUCCAGCAAUGCCGCGUGUCUGAAGAAGGCCUUCGGGUUGUAAAGGACUUUUGUUGGGGAGCAAGGUGCACAGGUUAAGAGCUAGUGUACUUGAGAGUACCCAAAGAAUAAGGACCGGCUAACUACGUGCCAGCAGCCGCGGUAAUACGUAGGGUCCAAGCGUUAAUCGGAAUUACUGGGCGUAAAGAGUGCGCAGGCGGCUUUGUAAGCUUGAUGUGAAAUCCCCGGGCUCAACCUGGGAACUGCAUUGAGGACUGCAAGGCUAGAGUGUAGCAGAGGGGGGUAGAAUUCCACGUGUAGCAGUGAAAUGCGUAGAGAUGUGGAGGAAUACCGAUGGCGAAGGCAGCCCCCUGGGUUAACACUGACGCUCAUGCACGAAAGCGUGGGGAGCAAACAGGAUUAGAUACCCUGGUAGUCC
rnacentral:rRNA from 1 species